ACGAACGCUGGCGGCAUGCCUCAUACAUGCAAGUCGAACGCCCCGCAAGGGGAGUGGCGUAAGGGUGCGUAACGCGUAGGAAUCUGCCUUGGACUGGGGGAUAACCUGGGGAAACUCGGGCUAAUACCGCAUAUUGCCGAAAGGUGAAAGAUUUAUCGGUCCAAGAUGAGCCUGCGUAUGAUUAGCUAGUUGGUAGGGUAAUGGCCUACCAAGGCGACGAUCAUUAGCUGGUCUGAGAGGAUGACCAGCCACAAUGGAACUGAGACACGGUCCAUACUUCUACGGAAGGCAGCAGUAGGGAAUUUUGCGCAAUGGGCGAAAGCCUGACGCAGCAAUGCCGCGUGUAGGAAGAAGCAUCUUGGUGUGUAAACUACUGUCGGCGGGGAAAAACAAAAUGAUUGUACCCGCAGAGGAAGCAUCGGCUAACUACGU
rnacentral:rRNA from 1 species